AAAUUGAAGAGUUUGAUCAUGGCUCAGAUUGAACGCUGGCGGCAGGCCUAACACAUGCAAGUCGAGCGGUAGCACAGAGAGCUUGCUCUCGGGUGACGAGCGGCGGACGGGUGAGUAAUGUCUGGGAAACUGCCUGAUGGAGGGGGAUAACUACUGGAAACGGUAGCUAAUACCGCAUAACGUCGCAAGACCAAAGUGGGGGACCUUCGGGCCUCAUGCCAUCAGAUGUGCCCAGAUGGGAUUAGCUAGUAGGUGGGGUAACGGCUCACCUAGGCGACGAU
rnacentral:rRNA from 1 species